UACGUAGGGGGCAAGCGUUGUCCGGAAUCACUGGGCGUAAAGCGCGCGCAGGCGGUCAUCUACGUCUGGGGUGAAAGCCCGGAGCUCAACUCCGGGAUUGCCUUGGAUACGGGAUGACUUGAGGAUCGGAGAGGCAAGGGGAAUUCCACGUGUAGCGGUGAAAUGCGUAGAGAUGUGGAGGAACACCUGUGGCGAAGGCGGCAUCCUGGACCAUGACUGACGCUGAGGAGCGAAAGCCAGGGGAGCAAACGGG
rnacentral:rRNA from 1 species